GUGCUCACCUUGGCCAGCACAGACACUAAAAUUGGAACAAUACGGAGAAGAUUGGCAUGGUUCCUGUGCAAGGAAGACUUGCAGAUUCAUGAAGCAUUCCAUAUUUUU
ensembl:snRNA U6 U6 spliceosomal RNA